AUUUGGUCCAUGAUGAUGCGUGACUGCUUUUUUGUACACGGGUACACUGAUUUUCCCAGGCAAGAAUGACUACGAAAUGAUAACGUACAUCACAGGGACUCAAGGAGCCUUUCCAGACAGCCUUCUGGUCUCUGGAAAAAAGACUGAACACUUUUUCCGCCAGGAAACUGAAACCAGUCUGUGGAGCCUGAAGACGUCGGAAACGUACCAGCAAGAGACCGGAAUAGCAGUCAGGAUGGCCAAGAAGCUCCAGUUGAGCUCUCUUGACCACCUCC